GUUUAGAUAGUUUAUAGAAAAUGUUAGUUUGUGGCACUAAAGAAAUAAGGUUUUAUUCUAGACA
rnacentral:tRNA from 1 species